rnacentral:rRNA from 1 species
GGCGUGCUUAACACAUGCAAGUCGAACGAUGAACCAGGGCUUGCCCUGGGGAUUAGUGGCGAACGGGUGAGUAACACGUGGGCAACCUGCCCCUGACAUCGGGAUAACUCCGGGAAACCGGGGCUAAUACCGGAUAUGAGCUUCGAGGGCAUCCUCGAGGCUGGAAAGUCUUUCGGUCAGGGAUGGGCCCGCGGCCUAUCAGCUUGUUGGUGGGGUAACGGCCCACCAAGGCGACGAAGGGUAGCCGGCCUGAGAGGGCGGCCGGCCACACUGGGACUGAGACACGGCCCAGACUCCUACGGGAGGCAGCAGUGGGGAAUAUUGCUCAAUGGGCGAAAGCCUGACGCAGCGACGCCGCGUGAGGGACGACGGCCUUCGGGUUGUAAACCUCUUUCAGCAGGGACGAAGCGAAAGUGACGGUACCUGCAGAAGAAGCACCGGCCAACUACGUGCCAGCAGCCGCCGUAAGAC